rnacentral:rRNA from 1 species
GACGAACCGUGCAAACGUUAUUCGGAAUCACUAGGCUUAAAGCGUGCGUAGGCGGCUGAGAAAGUUGGGUGUGAAAUCCCUCGGCUCAACCGAGGAAUUGCGCUCAAAACUACUUGGCCUGAGGGAGUUAGAGGUGAGCGGAACUAAUGGUGGAGCGGUGAAAUGCGUUGAUAUCAUUAGGAACACCGGUGGCGAAAGCGGCUCACUGGGACUCUUCUGACGCUGAGGCACGAAAGCUAGGGGAGCGAACGGG